rnacentral:rRNA from 1 species
UACGGAGGGUGCGAGCGUUGUCCGGAAUCACUGGGCGUAAAGGGCGCGUAGGCGGCGCGGGGAGUCAACGGUGAAAGCUCGGCGCUCAACGCCGAGUCGGCCGUCGAUACUCCCGUGCUUGAGCACUGUAGAGGCAGGUGGAAUUCCGGGUGUAGCGGUGGAAUGCGUAGAGAUCGGAAAGAACACCAACGGCGAAAGCACUCUGCUGGGCCGACACUGACACUGAGAGACGAAAGCUAGGGGAGCGAAUGGG